GAUCCCUUAUGACCCAUGAGUUGAUCGUGAAGCAAUAUUUUGAAGAAGAGACCAGAAAAAAGAAGACAAUUGCUCUCAAGUCGAUAGCUCAAGAAGAAGAAGAUUCAGAAAAAUUAGAGAAUAGUGAAGAAGAUGAGGACUUAGCCUUAAUCAUCAAAAAAUUUAGACAUUUCACGAGGAAAACAAGAUAAAGGACCAAGAGAAGACUACCAACUAAGGGGG
rnacentral:lncRNA from 1 species